CCUACGGGUGGCAGCAGUGGGGAAUAUUGCACAAUGGGGGAAACCCUGAUGCAGCGACGCCGCGUGAGUGAAGAAGUAAUUCGUUAUGUAAAGCUCUAUCAGCAGGGAAGAAAAUGACGGUACCUGAGUAAGAAGCCCCGGCUAAAUACGUGCCAGCAGCCGCGGUAAUACGUAGGGGGCAAGCGUUAUCCGGAUUUACUGGGUGUAAAGGGAGCGCAGGCGGCCUGCCAAGUCUGGUGUGAAAACCCGGGGCCCAACCCCGGGACUGCAUUGGAAACUGGCGGGCUGGAGUGUCGGAGGGGCAGGCGGAAUUCCUGGUGUAGCGGUGAAAUGCGUAGAUAUUAGGAGGAACCCCGGUGGCGAAGGCGGCCUGCUGGACGAUGACUGACGCUGAGGCUCGAAAGCGUGGGGAGCAAACAGGAUUAGAUACCUCUGUAGUC
rnacentral:rRNA from 1 species